GGGAAAGAAGCUACACAAAGCAAUUAGCUGUUACCUAAUAGAUAGUKAUUAACUCACCUGCCCUA
rnacentral:tRNA from 1 species